rnacentral:rRNA from 1 species
UACGAAGGGGGCUAGCGUUGUUCGGAAUUACUGGGCGUGAAGCGCGUGUAGGCGGGCGAAUAAGUCAGGGGUGAAAUGCCAAGGCUCAACCUUGGAACUGCCUUUGAUACUGUUCGUCUUGAGUCCGGGAGAGGUGAGUGGAACUGCGAGUGUAGAGGUGAAAUUCGUAGAUAUUCGCAAGAACACCAGUGGCGAAGGCGGCUCACUGGCCCGGAACUGACGCUGAGACGCGAAAGCGUGGGGAGCAAACAGG